GUGCUCACUUUGGCAGCACAUGUACAAAAUUGGAAUGAUACAGAGAAGAUUGGCAUGGCCCCUGCGCAAGGAUGACACACUGAUUCAUGAAGCAUUCCACAUUUUU
rnacentral:snRNA from 1 species